rnacentral:rRNA from 1 species
UACAGAGGGAUAGCCCAGAGAAAUUUGGAUUAAUACCUCAUAGUAUACAGAGUUGGCAUCAACACUGUAUUAAAGUUCCAACGGUAAAAGAUGGGCAUGCGUCCCAUUAGCUAGAUGGUAAGGUAACGGCUUACCAUGGCUACGAUGGGUAGGGGUCCUGAGAGGGAGAUCCCCCACACUGGUACUGAGACACGGACCAGACUCCUACGGGAGGCAGCAGUGAGGAAUAUUGGUCAAUGGACGCAAGUCUGAACCAGUCAUGCCGCGUGCAGGAUGACGGUCCUAUGGAUUGUAAACUGCUUUUGUACGGGAAGAAACAACAUUACGUGUAAUGUCUUGACGGUACCGUAAGAAUAAGGAUCGGCUAACUCCGUGCCAGCAGCCGCGGUAAUACGGAGGAUCCAAGCGUUAUCCGGAAUCAUUGGGUUUAAAGGGUCCGUAGGCGGUUUGGUAAGUCAGUGGUGAAAGCCCAUCGCUCAACGGUGGAACGGCCAUUGAUACUGCCAGACUUGAAUUACUGGGAAGUAACUAGAAUAUGUAGUGUAGCGGUGAAAUGCUUAGAGAUUACAUGGAAUACCAAUUGCGAAGGCAGGUUACUACCGGUGGAUUGACGCUGAUGGACGAAAGCGUGGGUAGCGAACAGGAUUAGAUACCCUGGUAGUCCACGCCGUAAACGAUGGAUACUAGCUGUUGGGGGCAACUUCAGUGGCUAAGCGAAAGUGAUAAGUAUCCCACCUGGGGAGUAC